rnacentral:rRNA from 1 species
GACGAACGCUGGCGGCGUGCCUAAUACAUGCAAGUAGAACGCUGAAGGAGGAGCUUGCUUCUCUGGAUGAGUUGCGAACGGGUGAGUAACGCGUAGGUAACCUGCCUGGUAGCGGGGGAUAACUAUUGGAAACGAUAGCUAAUACCGCAUAAGAGUAGAUGUUGCAUGACAUUUGCUUAAAAGGUGCAAUUGCAUCACUACCAGAUGGACCUGCGUUGUAUUAGCUAGUUGGUGAGGUAACGGCUCACCAAGGCGACGAUACAUAGCCGACCUGAGAGGGUGAUCGGCCACACUGGGACUGAGACACGGCCCAGACUCCUACGGGAGGCAGCAGUAGGGAAUCUUCGGCAAUGGACGGAAGUCUGACCGAGCAACGCCGCGUGAGUGAAGAAGGUUUUCGGAUCGUAAAGCUCUGCUGUAAGAGAAGAACGAGUGUGAGAGUGGAAAGUUCACA